CCUGUCACUGCAGCCUAGCGGCCUGAGCUCCUUACCUGGGGCUGGGACCCUGGCGCUGAGGGCGCAGAUGUGAGCCGUGGUGGAGCCACCCUCGUGGUCAGAAACUGAGCUGGGACAUAGCUGGACACCCAGAAGCAACUUUUCCUGGGGACUGAUCAAGAGGAAGGGAGGCUCAGAAACAGCCCUGAGGCUCUUUGGGGCUUAAGCCCUAAACCACACCUGCUGUUCCAGGUGGCACACAGAAAAAUAAGAAGGGGACCUGGAGUCAGCCGCCUACCCCCACCCUGGCUCAGAUCCCGACUUCACUGUUACCAGCUCCCU